CAGCCGCCACGGUAAUACGAAGGGGGCUAGCGUUGUUCGGAUUUACUGGGCGUAAAGGGCGCGUAGGCGGACUGAUAAGUCAGGGGUGAAAUCCCAAGGCUCAACCUUGGAACUGCCUUUGAUACUGUUUGUCUUGAGUUCGAGAGAGGUAAGUGGAACUGCGAGUGUAGAGGUGAAAUUCGUAGAUAUUCGCAAGAACACCAGUGGCGAAGGCGGCUUACUGGCUCGAAACUGACGCUGAGGCGCGAAAGCGUGGGGAGCAAACAGGAUUAGAUACCCCAGUAGUCCCUGUCUCUUAUAC
rnacentral:rRNA from 1 species